rnacentral:pre_miRNA from 10 species
GUGUGUAUAUGUGUACACACAUAUAUGUGUGUAUAUGUGUGUACACACAUAUAUGUGUGUAUAUGUGUGUAUAUA